rnacentral:sRNA from 1 species
AAGGCAGGAGGCCUGAAUGGGAAGGAAGACUCAAGGAUCGAGGGGUCGGGAGCGCCAGGAGAUGCGAAGACCACAGGAUAACGUCAGGAUAUGUUUGCAAGGAAAGGGACCUCUACAGGGAACGUUAUUUGCUAAGGGAUAAACAGGGCUGGUUGACAGCAAACAGGGAACGUAAAGGCCGCUAUAGGUUAAGGUCAAGAAAAAAGGCGACAGUUUACACUGUCGCCUUUUUUCUUUGCUUGCUU